rnacentral:rRNA from 1 species
UACAGAGGGGGCAAGCGUUGUUCGGAAUUACUGGGCGUAAAGGGCGCGUAGGCGGCCUGUUAAGUCGAACGUGAAAUCCCCGGGCUCAACCCGGGAACUGCGUCCGAUACUGGCAGGCUUGAAUCCGGGAGAGGGAUGCGGAAUUCCAGGUGUAGCGGUGAAAUGCGUAGAUAUCUGGAGGAACACCGGUGGCGAAGGCGGCAUCCUGGACAGGCAUUGACGCUGAGGCGCGAAAGCCAGGGGAGCAAACGGG